rnacentral:rRNA from 1 species
CCUACGGGUGGCUGCAGUGGGGAAUAUUGCACAAUGGGCGCAAGCCUGGUGCAGCCAUGCCGCGUGUGUGAAGAAGGCCUUCGGGUUGUAAAGCACUUUCAGCGGGGAGGAAGGCGUUAAGGUUAAUAACCUUGUCGAUUGACGUUACCCGCAGAAGAAGCACCGGCUAACUCCGUGCCAGCAGCCGCGGUAAUACGGAGGGUGCAAGCGUUAAUCGGAAUUACUGGGCGUAAAGCGCACGCAGGCGGUCUGUCAAGUCGGAUGUGAAAUCCCCGGGCUCAACCUGGGAACUGCAUUCGAAACUGGCAGGCUAGAGUCUUGUAGAGGGGGGUAGAAUUCCAGGUGUAGCGGUGAAAUGCGUAGAGAUCUGGAGGAAUACCGGUGGCGAAGGCGGCCCCCUGGACAAAGACUGACGCUCAGGUGCGAAAGCGUGGGGAGCAAACAGGAUUAGAUACCCUAGUAGUC